UGGGGAAUUUUCGACAAUGGGGGAAACCCUGAUACAGCCAUCCCGCGUGUGCGAUGAAGGCCUUCGGGUUGUAAAGCACUUUUGGCAGGAAAGAAACGUCAUGGGUUAAUACCCCGUGAAACUGACGGUACCUGCAGAAUAAGCACCGGCUAACUACGUGCCAGCAGCCGCGGUAAUACGUAGGGUGCAAGCGUUAAUCGGAAUUACUGGGCGUAAAGAGUGCGCAGGCGGUUCGGAAAGAAAGAUGUGAAAUCCCAGAGCUCAACUUUGGAACUGCAUUUUUAACUACCAGGCUAGAGUGUGUCAGAGGGAGGUGGAAUUCCGCGUGUAGCAGUGAAAUGCGUAGAUAUGCGGAGGAACACCGAUGGCGAAGGCAGCCUCCUGGGAUAACACUGCCGCUCAUGCACGAAAGCGUGGGGAGCAAACAGG
rnacentral:rRNA from 1 species